GACGAACGCUGGCGGCGUGCUUAACACAUGCAAGUCGAACGGAAAGGCUCCAGCUUGCUGGAGUCCUCGAGUGGCGAACGGGUGAGUAACACGUGGGUAAUCUGCCCUGCACUCUGGGAUAAGCCUGGGAAACUGGGUCUAAUACUGGAUAUGACCUUUCUCCUUAUGGGGUUUGGUGGAAAGUUUUUCGGUGUAGGAUGAGCCCGCGGCCUAUCAGCUUGUUGGUGGGGUGAUGGCCUACCAAGGCGACGACGGGUAGCCGGCCUGAGAGGGUGAUCGGCCACAUUGGGACUGAGAUACGGCCCAGACUCCUACGGGAGGCAGCAGUGGGGAAUAUUGCACAAUGGGCGGAAGCCUGAUGCAGCGACGCCGCGUGAGGGAUGACGGCCUUCGGGUUGUAAACCUCUUUCAGCAGGGACGAAGCGUAAGUGACGGUACCUGCAGAAGAAGCACCGGCUAACUAUGU
rnacentral:rRNA from 1 species